rnacentral:sRNA from 1 species
GCUGUAGCCGCUAGCCACGGUGACUACUAAGCACUUAAAAUGUGGCUGGUGCAACUAAGGAACCAAAUUUUCAACUUAAAUUUGUUUUAACUGAUUUAAAUGCAAAUAGCCGCAUAUGGCUAGUGGCUGCUAUACUGGACAGCACAGCCCUAGAGACAGAGCUACUGAGUAGGGAAAUUGAAGGACAUAGUGGUGGUACAUGUGGAAAAUGGAGGACAGUCUCAUUUGGGCAAGAAAGAACCAAGAGGGACAGGAUUCAUAAUGCAUGUGAUCCGAGGGAACCGCCCCAUCAAAACUGAGAUGGCCCAUCAGCUGUAUGUCCUUCAAGUCCUAACCUUUAACCUUCUGGAAGAAAGGAUGAUGACCAAGAUGGACCCCAAUGACCAGGCUCAAAGGGACAUCAUAUUUGAACUGAGGAGGAUUGCAUUUGACGCAGAGUCUGAUCCUAGCAAUGCCCCUGGGAGUGGGACCGAAAAACGCAAAGCCAUGUACACAAAGGACUACAAAAUGCUGGGAUUUACCAACCACAUCAAUCCAGCCAUGGACUUUACCCAGACUCCUCCUGGAAUGCUGGCCUUGGACAACAUGCUGUACUUGGCUAAAGUCCACCAGGACACCUACAUCCGGAUUGUCUUGGAGAACAGUAGCCGGGAAGACAAACAUGAAUGCCCCUUUGGCCGCAGUGCCAUUGAGCUCACCAAAAUGCUCUGUGAAAUA